UGAACAAGUAAUCUCUUCAAAAGGUUGUA
rnacentral:piRNA from 1 species